rnacentral:rRNA from 1 species
AUUGAACGCUGGCGGCAGGCCUAACACAUGCAAGUCGAGCGGAUGAAGGGAGCUUGCUCCUGGAUUCAGCGGCGGACGGGUGAGUAAUGCCUAGGAAUCUGCCUGGUAGUGGGGGAUAACGUCCGGAAACGGGCGCUAAUACCGCAUACGUCCUGAGGGAGAAAGUGGGGGAUCUUCGGACCUCACGCUAUCAGAUGAGCCUAGGUCGGAUUAGCUAGUUGGUGGGGUAAAGGCCUACCAAGGCGACGAUCCGUAACUGGUCUGAGAGGAUGAUCAGUCACACGGGAACUGGAACACGGUCCAUACGCCUGCGGGAGGCAGCAGUCGGGAAUGUUGGACAGUGGUGGAGAACCUUAUCCAGCCAGGCCGCGCGUGUUAAAGAGGUGUCCGGAUUGUAAAGCACGUUAUGUUGGGGGGAAGGGCAGUAAGUUAAUACCUUGCUGUUUUGACGUUACCGAGUGAAUAAGCACCGGCUAACUUCGUG